UGGUAUUGAGUCCAUGUCGGC
rnacentral:siRNA from 1 species